GUGGGGAAUAUUGCACAAUGGGGGAAACCCUGAUGCAGCAACGCCGCGUGAGUGAUGACGGUCUUCGGAUUGUAAAGCUCUGUCUUUAGGGACGAUAAUGACGGUACCUAAGGAGGAAGCCACGGCUAACUACGUGCCAGCAGCCGCGGUAAUACGUAGGUGGCAAGCGUUGUCCGGAUUUACUGGGCGUAAAGGGAGCGUAGGCGGAUUUUUAAGUGGGAUGUGAAAUACUCGGGCUCAACCUGGGUGCUGCAUUCCAAACUGGAAGUCUAGAGUACAGGAGGGGAAAGCGGAAUUCCUAGUGUAGCGGUGAAAUGCGUAGAGAUUAGGAAGAACACCAGUGGCGAAGGCGGCUUUCUGGACUGUAACUGACGCUGAGGCUCGAAAGCGUGGGGAGCAAACAGG
rnacentral:rRNA from 1 species